GAUGAACGCUGACAGAAUGCUUAACACAUGCCAGUCAACUUGAAUUUGGGUUUUUAACUUAGGUUUGGGUGGCGGACGGGUGAGUAACGCGUAAAGAACUUGCCUCACAGCUAGGGACAACAUUUGGAAACGAAUGCUAAUACCUAAUAUUAUGAUAAUAGGGCAUCCUAUAAUUAUGAAAGCUAUAAGCGCUGUGAGAGAGCUUUGCGUCCCAUUAGCUAGUUGGAGAGGUAACGGCUCACCAAGGCGAUGAUGGGUAGCCGGCCUGAGAGGGUGAUCGGCCACAAGGGGACUGAGACACGGCCCUUACUCCUACGGGAGGCAGCAGUGGGGAAUAUUGGACAAUGGACCGAGAGUCUGAUCCAGCAAUUCUGUGUGCACGAUGAAGUUUUUCGGAAUGUAAAGUGCCUUCAGUUGGGAAGAAACAAAUGACGGUACCAACAGAAGAAGUGACGGCUAAAUACGUG
rnacentral:rRNA from 1 species